GACGAACGCUGGCGGCGUGCUCAACACAUGCAAGUCGAACGGUGACGAUCAAGCUUGCUUAGUCUGAUCAGUGGCGAACGGGUGAGUAACACGUGAGUAACCUGCCCCUGACUCUGGGAUAACCCCGGGAAACCGGAGCUAAUACCGGAUACGACACGCCCCUGCAUGGGGAGCGUGUGGAAAGUUUUUCGGUCUGGGAUGGACUCGCGACCUAUCAGCUUGUUGGUGAGGUAAUGGCUCACCAAGGCGACGACGGGUAGCCGGCCUGAGAGGGCGACCGGCCACACUGGGACUGAGACACGGCCCAGACUCCUACGGGAGGCAGCAGUGGGGAAUAUUGCACAAUGGGCGAAAGCCUGAUGCAGCGACGCCGCGUGAGGGAUGACGGCCUUCGGGUUGUAAACCUCUUUCAGCAGGGAAGAAGCGCAAGUGACGGUACCUGCAGAAGAAGCACCGGCUAACUACGUGCCAGCAGCCGCAGUAAGAC
rnacentral:rRNA from 1 species